rnacentral:rRNA from 1 species
CCUACGGGGGGCAGCAGUCGAGAAUCAUUCACAAUGGGGGAAACCCUGAUGGUGCGACGCCGCGUGGGGGAAUGAAGGUCUUCGGAUUGUAAACCCCUGUCAUGUGGGCGCAAAUUAAAAAGAUAGUACCACAAGAGGAAGAGACGGCUAACUCUGUGCCAGCAGCCGCGGUAAUACGGAGGUCUCAAGCGUUGUUCGGAAUCACUGGGCGUAAAGCGUGCGUAGGCGGUUUCGUAAGUCGUGUGUGAAAGGCGCGGGCUCAACCCGCGGACGGCACAUGAUACUGCGAGACUAGAGUAAUGGAGGGGGAACCGGAAUUCCCGGUGUAGCAGUGAAAUGCGUAGAUAUCGAGAGGAACACUCGUGGCGAAGGCGCGUUACUGGACAUUAACUGACGCUGAGGCACGAAGGCCAGGGGAGCGAAAGGGAUUAGAUACCCGAGUAGUC